CCUACGGGAGGCAGCAGUGGGGAAUAUUGCACAAUGGGGGAAACCCUGAUGCAGCGACGCCGCGUGAGUGAAGAAGUAAUUCGUUAUGUAAAGCUCUAUCAGCAGGGAAGCAAAUGACGGUACCUGAGUAAGAAGCCGCGGCUAACUACGUGCCAGCAGCCGCGGUAAUACGUAGGGGGCAAGCGUUAUCCGGAUUUACUGGGUGUAAAGGGAGCGUAGACGGCAGUGCAAGUCUGGAGUGAAAGGCGGGGGCUCAACCCCCGGACUGCUCUUGAAACUGGACGGCUGGAGUGCAGGAGAGGUAAGUGGAAUUCCUAGUGUAGCGGUGAAAUGCGUAGAUAUCAGGAGGAACACCAGUGGCGAAGGCGGCUUACUGGACUGUGACUGACGUUGAGGCUCGAAAGCGUGGGUAGCAAACAGGAUUAGAUACCCGAGUAGUC
rnacentral:rRNA from 1 species